AGACAAAUGGGGCUGAGCUCUCUCU
rnacentral:piRNA from 1 species